rnacentral:lncRNA from 1 species
GUGAGAAUCAAAAGAAAUAUAUUGCUGAAUUGACUAGAGUUGUUCCAGCCUUAACUGCUGUCCAAGGGAAAAGUGACAUUUCCCAUCUCCUGGUCCCCUUUGCUAGCCCCAUACUUUCACCCUAAUAUAUUCAUUCCGAAAAAAUCAGAGCUUGCUCAGCAAAAGGAAGAUGGAGUCCCUGUAUCUUUCAUCCCUGCCUUCCCCAUGAGAAGGGAACUGGCAUUUCCUGAGGACCUGCUCUGGGCCCGUGCUUUAUCUACACUGGACUUUCAUCUAAUGCCUAACCCUCCAAGGAGCCCACGAUUUUCUCCAAGGCUGAAGCAACCAAGGCUAGAGAGUGUCCAUCUCAUGGGUUUUGGCCCAGCUAUGAAGACCCUCUGGCAAAAGGAAAACAGCAUAGAUUGGCAAGCAAGUGACAGAAGUGGCCCGAGGCAAUCCUCCGCUUCAUCCUCUUGCCCCUGGAGGCAGAUCAGGCUAAACACAGAAGCAGGGCUUCAAAGGAGGGGCCUGGAUCCUCCCCACAGUGACUCACUGGGCUCCAGAGGAAGCCGGGGUCUCCCGGGAUCAGUAGUCGGCCUUGAGGUGGUUCUCUGGAAGCCCUCUCCCACGGCGAUGAGAGCAAAGAGAGGCCGUGUGGUCUCAGGGAGAGACCCCGCGUGUAGCACAGCCUCUAAUUCUCUGCGUGACCUCGGGCAAGC